AAAUCCCCUUGGACUACUGCUUUAUUUUUCUCUCUCAUUUUAAACAUAAUGACAAGAAACAUAUCAGCAUGAUCCUUUUUCUCUUUCUUUCGAGGCUCUACUUGACAAUGAGACAGACAGCAAAGGCAGCGGGGAAAAAGAAACCCAACUUAAUUCCCAGCUCCCCUCAAACUGGGGCCUGGGCUAAGCCAACAGCUUGAACCCCCAGCACAUACAGUCCAUACACCACUUAUUUGCAUACUGUCCCGCAGAGUUCGCUAAUUCUGACAAUUUUACAUGUGUUGUGAGCAACGCUUUCCUAAGGUCUCCGACAUCGGGGCAUGGUUCACACCUCUCACAUAUCCCACGUACAGCCUCGCCUGGAGAAACUGUCCAGGUAUUUGGUUUAAUUAGAAGCUAGUUUAGAUCUGAAGAGCA